rnacentral:lncRNA from 1 species
GCAGCUGUAACGUUUUCUUCAUUCCUAUCUCUUUGCACAGUUAUCCUAAGCAUAAACUUUUUGUUUAUCGUCCUUCAUUUUCAUUUUUUUUUUUCGUUUUUCUUUGAAGUAUUUGAUGAAUUGGUAGAAAUUUCACUAAAUUAGUUAAUCAAUUCAUCAAAAGCGAUGUAGAACCAUAAAUUGAUUCUUUUAUUUAAAUUUCUGAAUAUGCAUUUUGUAUAUCGUAGAUCUCUCUUAUAAUAUAGAACGAUCUUGAACCAAAGUGCAUAGAUUAAGAGCUGUUAAAUCAGCAAGCAGCCAGACAACUGCUGUGAUGGAUCCACAGAUUAACGGCCUAUUAAUGCUGUUUGUCUACUAAUUCCAUCUUACAUUU